CCGCUUGAUCCAACAGGCUAAAAGUAUUGUAUCAGGCCAUUGCACCUUUCUAUCCACGCUCUUAUUUUCCCGCUCUAUCUUUUCUCUUUGUGUUUUUAGUUUAUUUUUUUCUCAAAGACUUACAGAGCAAACAAGGAGUGUAGGACUUGAAGUCUAGAAUUUUGUUACAUUAGAGCCACUGUUCACCAUGUGCAUCAAAUACAUGAUAAUAGAUGCCAAUGCAGCCAUAACACUAUAUAACUGGAAAAAAAGACCUGAAAAAAUUUUGAAGCUCUGAACGGGAUUCGAACCCACCACCAUUGCAUCAAAUACAGUUUUCCUAAGUUACAUGUUGGUGAAAUCAUUAUUAGAUUCGUUGCCUUAGUUGAGUUUUUUGUUUCUUUUGUGUUGUAGUUUUGCUGUGCUGUCAGCCAUCAGACAGGCCACUCAGCCAUGUUGAAAGACCAUCGUUCCACGCCACUGCUUGCUGUCACCAUUAAUUGUCUUCUCAGCAAAGAUGGCGAACUUCAAAAUGUGGGAGCGGCGUUAGCUUCAAAUAUUGCUAGAUUUAAGAUACAAGAGGACGUUGCACUGGAGUGUUCCACAGCCAUUAUUGAACUUCUCACCAAGGAUGUGUCCCAGGAGACAGUGCAUAAUUGUUUGUACG